GUCCACGCCGUAAACGAUGGAUACUAGCUGUUGGGCGCAAGUUCAGUGGCUAAGCGAAAGUGAUAAGUAUCCCACCUGGGGAGUACGUUCGCAAGAAUGAACUCAAAGGAAUUGACGGGGGCCCGCACAAGCGGUGGAGCAUGUGGUUAAUUCGAUGAUACGCGAGGAACCUUACCAAAGGCUUAAAAUGUAGUUUGACCGGACUGGAAACAGUUUUUUCGCAAAGACAAAAUUACAAGGUGCUGCAUGGUUGUCGU
rnacentral:rRNA from 1 species